ACGGGAAGUGGGAAAGCCAUGGAGCUUGAGAAGGAAAAGUUUGUUGGCUCAUUGAUGUUCCGCAAAAAUGGGCACCUAACAAUAUCUUGCUGGAUAGUUGAAGAAUCAUCAUUUACAUUCCUAAAGAAAAAAUCCAAUUCUACCAGAAAUGAAGCUGACCUACACAAUUAGAAAAAAAUUUAAGCAACCGAAGCUUCACAAAUCCUUUCGAAGAAUCAUCAUUUACAUUCCUUAAGAAAAAAUCCAUUCUACCGGAAAUGAAGCUGACCUACACAAUUGGAAAAGAAAUUUAAGCAAACGAAGCUUCACAAAUCCUUGUUAUCAGAGCAAGCAAGAUCAAUAAAUAAAAUCACAAAGGCAACCACCUUUUUAAUAAGAUCAUGCUUUAGGAAGUCAAAAGCUAAGAAACAACAAAAGGGGGAGA
rnacentral:lncRNA from 1 species